rnacentral:rRNA from 1 species
UACGACUACAUAUCAGGCAUAUCAAUAAGCGGAGGAAAAGAAACUAACAAGGAUUCCCUUAGUAACGGCGAGUGAAGCGGGAAGAGCUCAAAUUUGAAAUUCUUCAAGGUUUUACCUUGACGAAUUGUAGUUUAGAGAAGUGUUUUCUGUUGAAGUUUUGGUAAAGAGUUCUUUGGAAUAGGACAUCAUAGAGGGUGAGAAUCCGUAUUUGACCAUUAUUUUCAGCUGUGUGAUACACUUUCAAAGAGUCGGAUUGUUUGGGAAUGCAGUCCAAAAUGGGUGGUAAAUUUCAUCUAAAGCUAAAUAUUGGCGAGAGACCGAUAGCGAACAAGUACCGUGAGGGAAAGAUGAAAAGAACUUUGAAAAGAGAGUUAAACAGUACGUGAAAUUGUCAGAAGGGAAGCGUUUGACACCAGUGUUGUUUUCUCGAAAAUCAAUUAAAAAUAGUUGGAUUUUGUGUUGUAUUGACCUUAACAGCUUGCUUCACUCUUUUCCAGCUUUUUUUAAUGCACUUUUCGUUUAACAAGUCAACAUCAGUUUCUUUUGUUGUAAAAGGGUCAUUGGAAGGUGGCUUUCUCUUCGGAGAAAGUGUUUAUAGCCUUUGAUCUCUGCAAUCGGAGAGACUGAGGUCUGCAGCGUAGAUCCUUCGGGGUUAGAUACAUUUGUGCUAAGCUACAGCUUUUCAUAGACAACUUGUUGACUAUGUUUAGUCUUGUGACUUACCCGCUUAUGCUAUUUUACCUACGCUUAGGAUGUUGAGCGCAUGUCUCUCUCU